AGAUGGGAGCACCGUCACCCAGGGCUGCUCGGCGGCGUGUCAGGGCUGUUUUUACUUGAGCCCUGCUGGCUGGUGCAGUUCUUUGUGAGCAGAAGAAAGAAACUCGCCCCCACCCAUUUCCUCUUCUGGGGCUAUUUUGGGCGCGCGGCGCAGUUCGCCGUGUACUUUCUCAGCCCGAGCGGCACUGUGAGCUCCUUCUGGAGUCAUUAUAUUUAAUGAAGAGCGAGGCCCAGGAAGAGGUACCAGGAGCUUAAGGAAUUUGUGGAAUAUUCAAGCUGAGAGGCUAUGGAAUAACGUCAGAAGCGAAGGGUGGAGCUGAGCGCUUGCAUGAGUAACAUCUGCAGGACUGGGCCUGAUCUUCUGCCCAUUGAAAGCAAUAGGCAUCUCGCCAGCCCCGUCACCGGGAGCAGCAUCCAUGCCAGCAAAGAAAAGGGAAACUCAUUGGGCUAUCUGCAUGGCCGGCUCGAGGAGGAAAGGAGAGAGUAAAAAAAAAAAAAAAAAAAAAAUCAGAGGGAAUAAAUUCCUAUUCAAAUAAAUACUUCU